rnacentral:rRNA from 1 species
CCUGGUUGAUCCUGCCAGUAGUCAUAUGCUUGUCUCAAAGAUUAAGCCAUGCAUGUCUCAGUACAAGCCAAAUUAAGGUGAAACCGCGAAAGGCUCAUUAAAUCAGUUAUGGUUCCUUAGAUCGUACCACUUUUACUUGGAUAACUGUGGUAAUUCUAGAGCUAAUACAUGCAAACAGAGCUCCGACCUCAACAGGGAGGAGCGCUUUUAUUAGAUCAAAACCAAUCGGUGGCGGGUUCGCUCGUCAUCGUGAAUUUUGGUGACUCUGAAUAACUUUGUGCUGAUCGCACGGUCUCGCACCGGCGACGCAUCUUUCAAAUGUCUGCCUUAUCAACUGUCGAUGGUAGGUUCUGCGCCUACCAUGGUUGUAACGGGUAACGGGGAAUCAGGGUUCGAUUCCGGAGAGGGAGCCUGAGAAACGGCUACCACAUCCAAGGAAGGCAGCAGGCGCGCAAAUUACCCACUCCCGGCACGGGGAGGUAGUGACGAAAAAUAACGAUACGGGACUCAUCCGAGGCCCCGUAAUCGGAAUGAGUACACUCUAAACCCUUUAACGAGGAUCAAUUGGAGGGCAAGUCUGGUGCCAGCAGCCGCGGUAAUUCCAGCUCCAAUAGCGUAUAUUAAAGUUGUUGCGGUUAAAAAGCUCGUAGUCGAAUGUGUGUCCCUCACCGCCGGUUCAUCGUACGCGGUGUUAACUGGCGUGUCGCGGGACGUCCUGCCGGUAGGCUUGCUCGCAAGGGCGGUCUAACUCAAUCCCGCCGCGGUGCUCUUAAUUGAGUGUCGAGGUGGGCCGGCACGUUUACUUUGAACAAAUUAGAGUGCUUAAAGCAGGCUAAAACUUCGCCUGAAUACUGUGUGCAUGGAAUAAUAGAAUAGGACCUCGGUUCUAUUUUGUUGGUUUUCGGAACCCCGAGGUAAUGAUUAAUAGGAACGGAUGGGGGCAUUCGUAUUGCGACGUUAGAGGUGAAAUUCUUGGAUCGUCGCAAGACGAACAGAAGCGAAAGCAUUUGCCAAAAACGCUUUCAUUGAUCAAGAACGAAAGUUAGAGGUUCGAAGGCGAUCAGAUACCGCCCUAGUUCUAACCAUAAACGAUGCCAGCUAGCGAUCCGCCGACGUUCCUCCGAUGACUCGGCGGGCAGCUCCCGGGAAACCAAAGCUUUUGGGUUCCGGGGGAAGUAUGGUUGCAAAGCUGAAACUUAAAGGAAUUGACGGAAGGGCACCACCAGGAGUGGAGCCUGCGGCUUAAUUUGACCCAACACGGGAAACCUCACCAGGCCCGGACACCGGAAGGAUUGACAGAUUGAGAGCUCUUUCUUGAUUCGGUGGGUGGUGGUGCAUGGCCGUUCUUAGUUGGUGGAGC